rnacentral:rRNA from 1 species
UACGUAGGGAGCUAGCGUUGUCCGGAAUCAUUGGGCGUAAAGCGCGCGUAGGCGGCCCGGUAAGUCCGCUGUGAAAGUCAAAGGCUCAACCUUUGAAUGUCAGCGGAUACUGCCGGGCUAGAGUCCGGAAGAGGCGAGUGGAACUCCUGGUGUAGCGGUGGAAUGCGCAGAUAUCAGGAAGAACACCAACGGCGAAGGCAGCUCGCUGGGACGUGACUGACACUAAGGCGCGAAAGCGUGGGGAGCGAACAGG